GAUGAACGCUGGCGGCGUGCCUAAUACAUGCAAGUCGAGCGAACAGACGAGGAUCUUUCUCCUCUGACGUUAGCGGCGGACGGGUGAGGAACACGUGGAUAACCUACCUAUAAGACUGGGAUAACUUCGGGAAACCGUAGCUAAUACCGGAUAAUAUAGUUAACCGUAUGGUUCAAUAGUGAAAGACUGUGUUUCUGUCACUUAUAGAUGGAUCCGCGCCGCAUUAGCUAUUUGGGAAGGUAACGGCUUACCAAGGCAACGGAGCGUAGCCGACCUGAUAGGGUGGUCGGCCCCCCUGGAACUGAGACACGGUACAGACUACUCCGGGAGGCAGCACAAGGGAAACUUACGCAAUGGGAGAAAGCCAGACGGGACACAGCCGCGUCGGUGAUAAAGGUAUUCGGCUCGUAAAACUCAGUUAUUAGGGAACAACAAAAGUGUAAGUAACUAUGAACGACUUGAAGGUACCUAAUCAAAAAGGCACGGCUAACUCCGUG
rnacentral:rRNA from 1 species